UACGAAGGGGGCUAGCGUUGCUCGGAAUCACUGGGCGUAAAGGGUGCGUAGGCGGGUUUUUAAGUCAGGGGUGAAAUCCUGGAGCUCAACUCCAGAACUGCCUUUGAUACUGAAGAUCUUUGAGUCCGGGAGAGGUGAGUGGAACUGCGAGUGUAGAGGUGAAAUUCGUAGAUAUUCGCAAGAACACCAGUGGCGAAGGCGGCUCACUGGCCCGGUACUGACGCUGAGGCACGAAAGCGUGGGGAGCAAACAGG
rnacentral:rRNA from 1 species